rnacentral:rRNA from 1 species
AUUGAACGCUGGCGGCAGGCCUAACACAUGCAAGUCGAGCGAGCGGCGGACGGGUGAGUAAUGUCUGGGAAACUGCCAGAUGGAGGGGGAUAACUACUGGAAACGGUAGCUAAUACCGCAUACCAUCGGAUGUGCCCAGAUGGGAUUCGCUAGUAGGUGGGGUAAUGGCUCACCUAGGCGACGCUCCCUAGCUGGUCUGAGAGGAUGACCAGCCACAAUGGAACUGAGACACGGUCCAGACUCCUACGGGAGGCAGCAGUGGGGAAUAUUGCACAAUGGGCGCAAGCCUGAUGCAGCCAUGCCGCGUGUAUGAAGAAGGCCUUAGGGUUGUAAAGUACUUUCAGCGGGGAGGCGUUACCCGCAGAAGAAGCACCGGCUAACUACGUGCCAGCAGCCGCGGUAAUAC